CGGGUAACGUGAGCCGAUCUCUCUGGCAACCAGUUCCUGGAACUAAGGUUUACAAGUUGAGGUAUGGUUCAAGGGUUCAGCUAGUGCUACAAGAUACAAGUAUUGUCACACCUGAGAAUCACCCAAUUCACCUUCAUGGAUAUGAUUUCUAUAUCAUUGCGGAAGGGUUUGGAAAUUUUAAUCCCCAGACUGAUACAUCUAAAUUUAACCU
rnacentral:misc_RNA from 1 species